rnacentral:tRNA from 1 species
GGUGCUGUGGCUUAGUAGGUUAAAGCGCCUGUCUAGUAAACAGGAGAUCCUGGGUUCAAUUCCCAGCAGUGCCU